AUACGGGGGGUGCAAGCGUUAUUCGGAUUUAUUGGGCGUAAAGAGCGCGUAGGCGGCUUGGUAAGUCAGAUGUGAAAGCCCGGGGCUCAACCCCGGAAGUGCAUUUGAAACUAUCAGGCUUGAGUAUGGGAGAGGGAAGUGGAAUUCCUGGUGUAGAGGUGAAAUUCGUAGAUAUCAGGAGGAACACCGGUGGCAAAGGCGACUUCCUGGACCAAUACUGACGCUGAGGCGCGAAGGCGUGGGGAGCAAACAGGAUUAGAUACCCCAGUAGUCC
rnacentral:rRNA from 1 species